GACGAACGCUGGCGGCGUGCUUAACACAUGCAAGUCGAACGGAAAGGCCCUGCUUUUGUGGGGUGCUCGAGUGGCGAACGGGUGAGUAACACGUGAGUAACAUGCCCUUGACUGUGGGAUAACUUCAGGAAACUGGGGCUAAUACCGGAUAGGAGCUCCUGCUGCAUGGUGGGGGUUGGAAAGUUUCGGCGGUUGGGGAUGGACUCGCGGCUUAUCAGCUUGUUGGUGGGGUAGGGGCUUACCAAGGCUUUGACGGGUAGCCGGCCUGAGAGGGUGACCGGCCACAUUGGGACUGAGAUACGGCCCAGUCUCCUACGGGAGGCAGCAGUGGGGAAUAUUGCACAAUGGGCGGAAGCCUGAUGCAGCAACGCCGCGUGCGGGAUGACGGCCUUCGGGUUGUAAACCGCUUUCGCCUGUGACGAAGCGUGAGUGACGGUAAUGGGUAAAGAAGCACCGGCUAACUACGUG
rnacentral:rRNA from 1 species